UUAUUUAGGAAUUCUUAAAGGAUGCCUAAAAUGGUUAUCUCGUGAUGGACAUUUUGAAGAUAGUUGAAGAAGACAGUUUGAAAACAACAUUCUAAGGCAACGGUAAACGGUCUGAAAAUGGAUUUGAAAAAACGUCUGUAGAAGUUUAUCAACUUUGGGAUUCAGGAAGAGGAAUUCAACUCUCUCAUGAAUCAGAAUUCUGGAAGAAUGGAACCUCCUUAUGAACAGUCUAUUCCGUAUAUCAUUUACGCUGAUUUUGCCUUAAUCGAAAAAAUAGAUACUUGCAAACAUGAUGCAACUAUCCGCGUCUUUCACAGAAAAAAUACAACAUCAUAAAGCAUGCGAAUAUGCUUAUAUAAUUGUAGGACCUGAUGGAAAGAGUGUUAAAACUAUAACAGUAUACUGAAGUCCUAUCGUGGUUGUUCAUUCCAUAGAAAAUAUUUUACGUAAAGAAGAAAAAAUAGCCGAAAAAUUAUCUAUCAACGUUGUAAUAGUCUCUUUGCAUGACGCCUCAAGAGGAAAAAACAUUUUAAAGUGCUACUCACUGCUAUUUGUGCAAAAAAAAUUUGAAUAAUGACCAUGUAAAAGAUCAUGAUCACAUUACUGGGAAAUAUAGAGAAGCUGUAUACAAUAAGUGCAAUUUAAAAUAUAAGCUUCGAAAGAAAAUUCCUGCGGUAUUUCACAAUUUAAAAUAUUAUGAUGUACACUUACUUAUGCAAGUCGUGGGUAAAAUUCAAAAUCGAGAGUUUUAUGUUAUAACCAAUAUGGAAAAAUAUAUUUCGUUUAGUAUUAGAAGAAAAUGGAAAAAUAUGAGUAUCCUUAAUCUUUAUUAACAGUUUGCAACUCAUGAACGUGUCAUUAGAGAAACUUGUACCAAACUUUCCUGAAGAAAAAUUUAAGAUUUUACAAAAUAAUUUUCUUCAUCAUCAAAAUAUAAAACUAUUAUUACGGAAGGGGAUGUAUCCGUAUGAAUAUAUAAACUCCUUUGAAAAAUUUAAGGAAACUCAAUUGCCAUCUAUAGAAGAUUUUCAAAGUACAUUAACUGGUGAAUGUAUAUCCUCAGAUGACUGUACAGGCCCAGUUUUCUUGGUUAUCCCUAUUGCCGAGAGUAUCAAUCGUCGGCUGUUGGACAUUUGUACAUGAAUGACGCAAACGCCCUCAUUCGCGAACUUGAUGUACCUAACUGUGGCCUGAACAUGUAGGAUAGAAAACUAUAAGGGGAUCGACGAAGAAAGCCAUUCUUUUAAAGGAGGCCAAUGGAAGAAAAAGGUUGGGAAUCCCUGCCAUAGAACUUAGAUGUGAGACGUUGUAUAGAACGUAAGACUUUGCAGAGGUGCAUAUGGAUCUGACUUUUUAUGCGUAGACGAUAAUGCUCUUCCACAUCAAGCAAACUCCGCUGACGAAUUCCUUGAAAGUGAAGGUAUUGAGCGAAUACCGUACCCAGCAAAAUUUCCUGAUUUUAACCAGAUAAAGAGCUUUUGGCCUUACUUAGGAAAAGCAGCUGCUCGGAGACAUCUUACUCUUACAGAUGGUUGUGAAUGGCCUUAGAUCCCAUUCUUGUAGUGGAACUUAAUACUCCCAAGUUUUUGGUUAACAGCAUUAUUGCAAGCAUGAAAACGCAUUGGGAUAUGUGUGUACAGGUCAAAGGAGAUCACAUUCCGUAUUAAAUUCAUAAGCCUUAAUCCCUCUGAACUCUGCUUGUAACAUAUUAUUACUAUUUGUAUUUUGUAUAGUUCUGUAUAAUAAACAGAGAUCUAAACUUU